GCUGACUGAGAUCUUUGUGCACAGAAUCUGUAAUCUGGUCCCGGCCCUGCCAGUUUGGGGAUGGGUAUCCUGCCACGGAAGAACAAAUAAGAAUGUGAAAAUGAGUACUAACAUCCCUGAUGAAAACAAGGUCAUUCAUGUCCCUAAGUCAUGACUCUCGAGAAUCUCGUCAGCCAUUUGGAGGAGAAACCAUAUGAAUGUAAAAAAGGUCAUCAGUGUGCAAAAAUCUUCAACUACAUUCCAAAGCAUUUUUAUUGUAAAUCCAGAAUUCCAUUGAGAAGUACCCAUAAGUGAAAAUUGAGUAUGUGGAGAAAUAGGCGUUGGCUUUAUAUCUCUAAGUGUACUACUCAGAGAAACUAUAUGAGGAUCAAGAAUAUGGAAAGAAAUAUGUAAACAUAAGGAAUCUGAGAACAUAUCCAUUUCCCCACUGUCCUUUCAGAAGCAUAAAGAGAGAAUUGUUUUAAAAUCUAAAAUCAUCCUAAAAUCAUGGGGUGGUACUUUUGAUAUUUUAGACAUGCUCAAAAUCAUGCAAGGACUUCCAUUAGAGAAAAAACACCAUAAGUGUAAGCAAUGUGAGAAAGUUUUCAUUUCUUCCAGUUCCUUUCAAAGGCAUGAAUAGUGUAACAGUCAAAAGAAAGUCUAUGUAUAUAAACAAUGUCAAAACACCUUUGCUCUUCCCACUAGUUAAAGAAAAAACACACAUGAAGGAAUACAUACUGGUGAGAAACACUAUGUGUAUAAGGUAUGUGAUAAGGUAUCCUUCUUG